rnacentral:rRNA from 1 species
UCGAGCGGCAGCGCGGGGGCAACCCUGGCGGCGAGCGGCGAACGGGUGAGUAAUGCAUCGGAACGUGUCCCGGAGUGGGGGAUAACGCCGCGAAAGCGGCGCUAAUACCGCAUAUGCUCUGAGGAGGAAAGUGGGGGCUCCGCAAGGACCUCAUGCUCUGGGAGCGGCCGAUGUCCGAUUAGCUUGUUGGUGAGGUAACGGCUUACCAAGGCGACGAUCGGUAGCUGGUCUGAGAGGAUGAUCAGCCACACUGGGACUGAGACACGGCCCAGACUCCUACGGGAGGCAGCAGUGGGGAAUUUUGGACAAUGGGGGCAACCCUGAUCCAGCCAUGCCGCGUGCGGGAAGAAGGCCUUCGGGUUGUAAACCGCUUUUGGCCGGGAAGAAAAGGUUCAGGCUAAUACCUUGGAUUUUUGACGGUACCGGCAGAAUAAGCACCGGCUAACUACGUGCCAGCAGCCGCGGUAAUACGUAGGGUGCGAGCGUUAAUCGGAAUUACUGGGCGUAAAGCGUGCGUAGGUGGUUCGUUGUGUCUGUGGUGAAAGCCCC